UAUAUAAGCUAGGGUUAUUAUAUACUUUUAUGAGUAUAGAACCUUUCGUACUCAUAAGUUGUUUUCGAUGAUGGAGCUUCCAAAUCGAUGAUCAACUCUAUUAAAUAUGAUCUAGAGUAUUUGAGACUUGUAAAAAAUAAAUUUUGUAAUUUUUCGAAAUCAUAAUAAAGUCUAUCAAGCGGGUAUAAAUUGAACUUUUCGAAAUCAUAAAAAAGUCUAUCAAGCGGGUAUAAAAUGAACAGUCAAAAUCAAACGGCAUCCUAAAAAUGGAUGAUCUGAUUCUUCAAUUUAAGAUCAGAGUUUUUGAUCUUUAUCUGGAUAGUCAAUAGAAUUUUCUAUUAAAAAUUCAAUCUAUUACAAUUCUUUUACACCGUCAAACUAGUAAGCAUCCCGUACCGGCAUUAAAAAUUAUCAAUUUUGUGACAUUUUGAUCGUAGGGUAAAUGAUGUCGAAACAUUAUGAAAUUUGAUUUCUAAAAGUUUUAAAUGUUCUAGAUAAUAUUUAACGGUAUGGAUCAUCGAUUCGGAAGCUCUAUCAUCGAAAACGACUUAUGAGAACGAGGAUGAUCGUAUUCAUAAGAGUAUAGUAGACGGACUCUCUCUCUCUCUCUCCCUCUCUCUCUCUCUCUCUCUCUCUCUCUCUCUCUCUCUCUCUCUCUCUCUCUCUCUCUCUCUCUAUAUAUAUAUAUAUAUAUAUAUAUAUAUAUAUAUAUAAUACACACACACAGGCCUAUGUAUUAUGUACUUUGAUUAUAUGCACAUAGUGUUUAGGUUAUUGGACGAUAUUUGCUGGCCCAUAAGACUAAACUAGCAAAAUCCUACCUUAGUUACUCUAUCUCUCCCUCUCUUUUACUUGCUCUCUGAGUCGCUUCUCCUAAAUUUCUAAUCUCUCUCACCUCCUUCUACCUAAAAAUUCUAGUUUGAUAUGAUUUUAUUUUCAUAAUAAUAAAAAGGACAUUGGUUAUUUGAUUGAAAAAAUAUAUAAAUAUAUUCUUAUGGGAAAAAAAUUAUUAUGUUUAUCCAAAAUUUUGAUUUUAGUUAUAUAUGAUUGGAUAGUUUAGUCUAAUACUCAUUUAUAUAAUUUAUUUAUUUUUUGACUGUACAUAUGAAAAAAAAUAAUACGGAGAUUGAAGGUGAAAGAAAAGACAUGCAAGAUUGGAAGAAAAAUAUGAAUAGAUAUAUCAACUCAUAAAUUAUUUUUCUUAUUAUUAUAAUAUUGUAUUUUAUUUAUUUAUUUUGUAUGUUGAACUAUUAGACAUAUAUCAAAUUUUAGAUAAUGUUUCAUAAAAAUUAAGCUAUAGAUUAUAUGAUGUUAAGAAUUUCAAUUGG
rnacentral:lncRNA from 1 species